UUGGAUGAAAUCAUUCUAGGAUCUACACUUUGAAAUGGAACCCACAUAAAAUGGUGGAACAUGCAUUGAUUUCACCCAA
rnacentral:pre_miRNA from 1 species